GUUGAUGACAAGGGGAGCUUGUGUUGCAGGCUGAGAGGAAGCGUAAGACUUCGACCCAUAACCUGAUUUGGAUAAUGCCAACGUAGGAUAUGUCUAUACCGGUGUGC
rnacentral:ncRNA from 2 species